UACGUAGGGUGCGAGCGUUGUCCGGAAUUAUUGGGCGUAAAGGGCUCGUAGGCGGUUUGUCGCGUCGGGAGUGAAAACACUGGGCUUAACUCAGUGCUUGCUUCCGAUACGGGCAGACUAGAGGUAUUCAGGGGAGAACGGAAUUCCUGGUGUAGCGGUGAAAUGCGCAGAUAUCAGGAGGAACACCGGUGGCGAAGGCGGUUCUCUGGGACGGUACUGACGCUGAGGCGCGAAAGCUAGGGGAGCGAACAGG
rnacentral:rRNA from 1 species